rnacentral:rRNA from 1 species
UUAAAGAGUGCGUAACAGCUCACUAGUCGAGCGAUCGGGCGUGGAUAAUAAUCGGGCAUUAAGCAUACUACCGAAGCAAUGGCAUCGAAAGAUGGGUAGGGGAGCAUUCUAAGGGCGUCGAAGGUGUACUGUGAGGUAUGCUGGAGCGCUUAGAAAAGAAAAUGUAGGCAUAAGUAACGAUAAAGCAGGCGAGAAACCUGCUCACCGAUAGACUAAGGUUUCCUGAACAACGCUAAUCGGUUCAGGGUUAGUCGGGGCCUAAGGCGAACCCGAAUGGGGUAGUCGAUGGACAAUUGGUUAAUAUUCCAAUACUUGUAUUUAUUGCGAUGGGGUGACGGAGUAGUGAAAGUCCUGCGUACUGACGGAAUAGUACGUUAAAACUUGUAGGUAUAAGAUUCGUAGGUAAAUCCGCUUAUCUUGCUGAAAGUGAUAGUACUCUAAGUCUUCGGACGAGGAGAUAUGGACCUAAUCAGACUUCCAAGAAAAACCUCUAAGCUUCAGAUAAAUACAACCCGUACCGCAAACCGACACAGGUAGUCAAGGA